GAUGAAGAACGUAGCGAAAUGCGAUACUUGGUGUGAAUUGCAGAAUCCCGUGAACCAUCGAGUCUUUGAACGCAAGUUGCGCCCGAAGCCGUCAGGCCGAGGGCACGCCUGCCUGGGCGUCACACGCCGUUGCCCCCCCGCGCCCCGCACCCAACGCUUUGGGAGCGACCGCGGGGCGGGCUGAUGAUGGCCUCCCGUGCGCUCCGCCGCGCGGUUGGCCCAAAUACCGAGUCCCCGGCGACGUGCGCCACGACGAUCGGUGGUUGAGAGACCUCUGUCGCAAGUCGUGCGCGCCCGUCGCGUCACGCGGGCUCGCAUAGCGCCUCGCGCCGCACACGGUGCGGAGCUUUCAACGCGACCCCAGGUCAGGCGGGGUUACCCGCUGAAUUUAAGCAUAUCAAUAAGCGGAGGA
rnacentral:misc_RNA from 1 species